rnacentral:rRNA from 1 species
GAUGAACGCUGGCGGCGUGCCUAAUACAUGCAAGUCGAGCGAACAGACGAGGAGCUUGCUCCUCUGACGUUAGCGGCGGACGGGUGAGUAACACGUGGAUAACCUACCUAUAAGACUGGGAUAACUUCGGGAAACCGGAGCUAAUACCGGAUAAUAUAUUGAACCGCAUGGUUCAAUAGUGAAAGACGGUUUUGCUGUCACUUAUAGAUGGAUCCGCGCCGCAUUAGCUAGUUGGUAAGGUAACGGCUUACCAAGGCGACGAUGCGUAGCCGACCUGAGAGGGUGAUCGGCCACACUGGAACUGAGACAUGGUCCAGACUCCUACGGGAGGCAGCAGUAGGGAAUCUUCCGCAGUGGGCGAAAGCCUGACGGAGCAACGCCGCGUGAGUGAUGAAGGUCUUCGGAUCGUAAAACUCUGUUAUUAGGGAAGAACAAAUGUGUAAGUAACUAUGCACGUCUUGACGGUACCUAAUCAGAAAGCCACGGCUAACUACGUG